rnacentral:rRNA from 1 species
CACGGGUGAGUAACACGUAUCCAACCUGCCGUCUACUCUUGGACAGCCUUCUGAAAGGAAGAUUAAUACAAGAUGGCAUCAUGAGUCCGCAUGUUCACAUGAUUAAAAGGUAUUCCGGUAGACGAUGGGGAUGCGUUCCAUUAGAUAGUAGGCGGGGUAACGGCCCACCUAGUCUUCGAUGGAUAGGGGUUCUGAGAGGAAGGUCCCCCACAUUGGAACUGAGACACGGUCCAA